CACGUAGGGGGCGAGCGUUGUCCGGAUUUAUUGGGCGUAAAGAGCUCGUAGGCGGUUUGGUAAGUUGGAUGUGAAAUCUCCAGGCUCAACUUGGAGGGGUCAUUCGAUACUGCCAUGACUAGAGUUCGGUAGGGGAGUGUGGAAUUCCUGGUGUAGCGGUGAAAUGCGCAGAUAUCAGGAGGAACACCGGUGGCGAAGGCGGGUCUCUGGGCCGUAACUGACGCUGAGGAGCGAAAGCGUGGGGAGCGAACAGG
rnacentral:rRNA from 1 species